rnacentral:lncRNA from 1 species
UGUUGAUAAAAUAUACGAUUAAAAAGUUGAUAAAAGUUACGGAUCUCAUAAAAUGUGUUAUUGAAAAUGAAUUUGAGAAAAAAAAUGAGUUCUAAAAAAUAAGGCCAAACAUGAACUAAAUAUGGUCAACAUUUCGAGUAUUUAAACUUUUAAAUGAACUGUUUGAAAGUAUGAUGCACCAGUUGACCACCAAUACUGUGAAUUUCGACCCUGUAACCAGUGGAAUGCCUCCGAUCCUUUUUACGAAACCUCCAUCGUUGGAACCAAAAUCUUCUUCUAGCCUUAUCCGAACGAAAGCUCAUGAAAUUCAGCAUGCUAUCUUGAAGAAAAGCCUAAGAGGGAAAUAAUCUGCACAAGAUGCAAAACUUAUUAAUUACAGAUUCUUUAUCUCCUUGCACACAAGUCAUCAUGCACUUUAUUAAGAAUCUAACUUCAGAUUCUCCAAAUUUGAGCCCCUCGAGUUACAUGUUAU